rnacentral:rRNA from 1 species
UACGGGGGGGCAAGCGUUGUUCGGAAUUACUGGGCGUAAAGGGCGCGUAGGCGGUUGGAUAAGUCAGCUGUGAAAACCACGGGCUUAACUCGUGGCCUGCAGUUGAGACUGUCUGGCUUGAGUGUGGGAGAGGAGAGUGGAAUUCCUGGUGUAGCGGUGAAAUGCGCAGAUAUCAGGAAGAACACCCGUGGCUAAGGCGGCUCUCUAGUACGGUACUGACGCUGAGACGCGAAAGCGUGGGGAGCGAACAGG